CAUCGGAAAGGAUGCUGUGAUUCAUGGAUUGGAUCAGGACACAUCUGGAUGAUGCUGCAGGGACGGUCUUCAGGAUGAAGAUAAAGGGACCUCUCAGGAAGAGAUAAGGGACACCUCCAGGACGGAGAUCGUGAGCUAUCAGUAAGAUAGCGAGCUGGGAUGCUCAGGGAGUAUCACCAUAGACGGUGAAAUGUAGGAAACAAUCAGGGACAAAGUUAUCAAGGAUGAGCAGGGAGCAUUAAUGUAGCUGGAUUGCUGCGAACGAAUUGGGGGCACUGUUAUUACAGUGCCCCCUUUUUUCGUU
rnacentral:other from 1 species